rnacentral:rRNA from 1 species
GACGAACCGAGCGAACGUUGUUCGGAAUCGCUGGGCUUAAAGGGCGCGUAGGCGGGUGCUCAAGUCUGUGGUGAAAUCCUCCGGCUCAACCGGAGAACUGCCAUGGAUACUGGGUGCCUCGAGGGUGGUAGGGGUAUGCGGAACUAUCGGUGGAGCGGUGAAAUGCGUUGAUAUCGAUAGGAACUCCGGUGGCGAAGGCGGCAUACUGGACCACUUCUGACGCUGAGGCGCGAAAGCCAGGGGAGCAAACGGG